rnacentral:rRNA from 1 species
AGAGUUUGAUCCUGGCUCAGGACGAACGCUGGCGGCGGGCCUAAUACAUGCAAGUCGAACGCACUCGACCUUCGGGUCACAUGAGUGAGUGGCGAACGGGUGAGUAACACGUGAGGAACCUGCCCUGAAGACCGGAAUAACCCGAGGAAACUCGAGCUAAUACCGGAUAUCCCCAUCUGGUCGCAUGGCCUAAUGAGGAAAUGUUCAGGCGCUUCAGGAGGGUCUCACGGCCUAUCAGCUAGUUGGUGAGGUAACGGCUCACCAAGGCAUCGACGGGUAGCUGGUCUGAGAGGACGAUCAGCCACACUGGGACUGAGACACGGCCCAGACUCCUACGGGAGGCAGCAGUAGGGAAUCUUGCGCAAUGGGCGAAAGCCUGACGCAGCCACGCCGCGUGAGGGAUGAAGGCUCUCGGGUUGUAAACCUCUUUCAGCAGGGACGAAAAUGACGGUACCUGCAGAAGAAGCUCCGGCCAACUACGUGCCAGCAGCCGCGGUAACACGUAGGGAGCGAGCGUUGUCCGGAAUUAUUGGGCGUAAAGAGCUCGUAGGCGGUUCAGUAAGUCAGGUGUGAAAACUCGAGGCUCAACCUCGAGAGGCCACCUGAUACUGCUGUGACUGGAGUCCGGUAGAGGAGUGUGGAAUUCCUGGUGUAGCGGUGAAAUGCGCAGAUAUCAGGAGGAACACCAACAGCGAAGGCAGCACUCUGGGCCGGUACUGACGCUGAGGAGCGAAAGCGUGGGGAGCGACCAGGAUUAGAUACCCUGGUAGUCCACGCC